UACGUAGGGGGCAAGCGUUACUCGGAAUUACUGGGCGUAAAGGGUGAGUAGGCGGCUGGGCAAGUCAAGGAUGAAAGCCCGAGGCUCAACUUCGGAACCGUCCUUGAAACUGCUCAGCUUGAGGGUAGUUGAGGAGAGCGGAAUUCCCGGUGGAGCGGUGAAAUGCGUAGAUAUCGGGAGGAACACCUGCGGCGAAGGCGGCUCUCUAAGCUACUCCUGACGCUGAAUCACGAAAGCUAGGGGAGCAGUCGGG
rnacentral:rRNA from 1 species